AUUGAACGCUGGCGGCAGGCCUAACACAUGCAAGUCGAACGAGUGGCGGACGGGUGAGUAAUGUCUGGGAAACUGCCCGAUGGAGGGGGAUAACUACUGGAAACGGUAGCUAAUACCGCAUACCAUCGGAUGUGCACAGAUGGGAUUAGCUGGUAGGUGGGGUAACGGCGCACCUAGGCGACGAUCCCUAGCUGGUCUGAGAGGUUGACCAGCCACACUGGAACUGAGACACGGGCCAGACUACCACGUGAGGGAGCAGGGGGGAAUAUUGCACAAUGGGCGCAAGCCUGAUACAGCCAUGCCGCGUGUAUGAAGAAGGCCUGCGGGUUGUAAAGUACUUUCAGCGAGGAGGCGUUACUCGCAGAAGAAGCACCGGCUAACUCCGUGCCAGCAGCCGCGGUAAUAC
rnacentral:rRNA from 1 species